GAUGAAGAACGUAGCGAAAUGCGAUAAGUAAUGUGAAUUGCAGAAUUCAGUGAAUCAUCGAAUCUUUGAACGCACAUUGCGCCCGCCAGUAUUCUGGCGGGCAUGCCUGUUCGAGCGUCAUUUCAACCAUCAAGCCCCCGGCUUGUGUUGGGGACCUGCGGCUGCCGCAGGCCCUGAAAACCAGUGGCGGGCUCGCUAGUCACUCCGAGCGUAGUAAUACAUCUCGCUCAGGGCGUGCUGCGGGUUCCGGCCGUUAAAAAGCCUAAUUUACCCAAGGUUGACCUCGGAUCAGGUAGGAAGACCCGCUGAACUUAAGCAUAUCAAUAAGCGGAGGA
rnacentral:misc_RNA from 1 species